CAUUGAAAUAGGUUGCAGAUGACAAGUAACAACAUACUAAAGAAACAUAAACUUUGAACCAACUUGAUGAGCAAAAAGUGAAAAAUGCACACAUGCUAAUCAACAGUAUAACGGCCAAGACAUUUACAAAGGACUUCAAUGUUGAGAGGUCCCCUUCUGUACCUUGAUUAGGGAAAUGGCCUUGCAAAUAAAAAUUAGCAAGUAAUUGAUCCUUUAGCUGGAAUGUAUUCAUCAACCAAGCAGCAACUUUCUCUUCAGAUGUUGGGAUUUCAUCA
rnacentral:misc_RNA from 1 species